GACUGCAGCUCAGCGGUAGGGCACUUGCCUCUUACGCUUGACAUCCUAGGUUCAAUCCUCAGUACAGCCC
rnacentral:tRNA from 1 species